rnacentral:rRNA from 1 species
AACACAUGCAAGUCGAGCGGGGAAGGGUAGCUUGCUACCUGACCUAGCGGCGGACGGGUGAGUAAUGCUUAGGAAUCUGCCUAUUAGUGGGGGACAACAUUCCGAAAGGAAUGCUAAUACCGCAUACGCCCUACGGGGGAAAGCAGGGGAUCUUCGGACCUUGCGCUAAUAGAUGAGCCUAAGUCAGAUUAGCUAGUUGGUGGGGUAAAGGCCUACCAAGGCGACGAUCUGUAGCGGGUCUGAGAGGAUGAUCCGCCACACUGGGACUGAGACACGGCCCAGACUCCUACGGGAGGCAGCAGUGGGGAAUAUUGGACAAUGGGCGAAAGCCUGAUCCAGCCAUGCCGCGUGUGUGAAGAAGGCCUUUUGGUUGUAAAGCACUUUAAGCGAGGAGGAGGCUACUGAGAUUAAUACUCUAGGAUAGUGGACGUUACUCGCAGAAUAAGCACCGGCUAACUCUGUGCCAGCAGCCGCGGUAAUACAGAGGGUGCGAGCGUUAAUCGGAUUUACUGGGCGUAAAGCGUGCGUAGGCGGCUUUUUAAGUCGGAUGUGAAAUCCCUGAGCUUAACUUAGGAAUUGCAUUCGAUACUGGGAAGCUAAAGUUUGGGAAAGGAUGGUAGAAUUCCAGGUGUAGCGGUGAAAUGCGUAAANAUCUGGAAGAAUACCGAUGGG